GUGAAGGGUGGUGAACACGUUGGGUGGUCGCCGUGCCUCAGCCUGGUGGCUGAGGGGCUCAUGACGGCGCCAGCCAGCGGGGUGGAAGAGAGAGUGGAGGAUUGAGGUAGGAAAUGGCGAGAUAGCCAUAGAGGCCACGAAGGGCUGACAUUGGGAGGUGGCGAGAUCGCCACGCACGGAGGAACAGGGAGCAGAGAUGGAGCUGCUGGGGGAGCAGCCAGAGGGCUGUACCAAGAGCCUGCAGCGGAGCUGCAGGAGCGUGGAAGGCUACGGGAGCGAAGGCAGAUGUGGGGCUGCCAGGGAGAGAGUCUCAGGAGGAGUGCCGUGUGGGAAGGAGAACGCGAACCCCAAAUAAAGGACACGGAGUCAGCAAGAAGUGUCUGAGUCCUUUUAUUACACAAGCACCAUCAAAGUUAAACCGUGCUUUUCUUCUAAAAUAUAUUGGGUGUAUUUUGGGUCAUUUGGUCAUGGGUGGUGUGGUGUAUGGACAUAUGUGAAAGAGAGUUUCAUAGCUGUUCAGAUUCCUAUAUUUAAAAUAAAGAUACUGGUUCUGUAUGUCUGCGUUGUAUCUGAAUGUUCUAUAGUAACUGCACGCAGUCAUUAAAAUGCUUUGCCGUAUCCCUCUGCUGCUUUAUGGCCGUGGCCCACACAGCUCAUUGAGAACAACAAUCAGCUGGGAUCCCUGCAGGCGGGGAUUCUGGGCUACCAGCGCGUGGUGGCGGAGCUGCAUGCUGCGCUGGCGCCAUCCCACGAAAACUUGCAGAGCUUGCACGUACAGCUCCAGGAUCUGCAAGUGCUGCACCAGCAGAGCGAGGCGAAGCUCAUUGACAGGAAUUGGCAGCUGGAAUCUCUGCAGGCAGAGAUUCAGUGGUAUGAACGUGUGGUGGUGGAGCUGCACGCCGAGUUGGCGCCCUACCGCGACAACAGCCAGAGCGCACACUCAGAGCAGCAGCGUCUGCAGAGCGAGGUGGAGCUUCCUACGGUUGAGGAAGAGGACAUCUCAAUCUGCUCACUGGAGCCCGGCGUUCAAGAAGCCUCCCAAGACCUGCCCCCCAAGGCCUCCAACACCCUCCGCGCCUCUCACAUUGACUAACACACACAUAUCGACUGACACACACACAUAUCGACUUACAAAUACACAUCGACUCACACACAUGCAUGGACCUAAACACACAUGGACUUACACACACACACAUCGAUGCACACACACACACACCGACUCACACACACACAUGGACUUACACACACAAUUUUAUACGGACUUAUACACACACAUAUCGACUAAGACACACACACGUGGACUAUACACACACAUGGACCCCCGCACACACAUCGACUGACACACAGACUGACACACACACAUCGACUCACACACACACUGCCCUACCCACACAUACACAUGGACUCACACACACAGACAUCAACUUUAGAUACACACAAAGACAAAGAUCCCCCGUAUAGCCUUAACAGACAGGGGCAAGUGCUGUUAGCGAGCACCUAUAAAGGCCGGAACGGCACACGAGGGGGUGGGUGGCCAUCACCACGCCCGACCACCUUUGUCUCCCCAGUGGCGAUGUUUAUGCACCACACCAGGUACUCAUUUCAGGCUGAGUCGACCUAGGGGAGGCCCAGGACUGGUUCAGAUAAUCGUCACUGGUGUUGGCCGUGAGCGGGAAUCGAACGCGGGUCGCCAGAUUCAUAGCGCAGCGAGCUAACUGCUACACUACCGCUCCCCACACAAAUAGACAAAUAUCCCCCGUGUCGCCUUAAAAGACUGUAGGGGCAAGUGCUGUUAGCGAGCACCUAUGAAGGCAGGCAUGGCAAACGAGGGGUUGGGUGGCCAACACCACGCCUGGCCGCCUUUGUCUCCCUAGUGGCGAUGUUUACACACCGCACCAGGUACUCAUUUUAGGCUGAGUCGACCUAGGGGAGGCCAAGGACCGGUUCUGAUAACCGUCACCGGUGUUGGCCGUCAGCGGGAAUCGAACUCGGGUCGCCGGGUUCACAGCGCAGCGCGCUAACCACUACGCUACCGCUCCCCACACACUCACACACACGUAAACGUACACACACAUCGACUCGCACACAUAUGGACUCAUCACACACACAUACACAUCGACGUACACACAUAUCGACUGACACAUGUAAUAUAGCUCGCAGAGACGGCGUCUCUCUUCUGUUUGUUUAUUAUCAAAUAAAUAUCAACCAAUAACUCAA